rnacentral:misc_RNA from 1 species
CAUGAAAGGAGCUAUACCCCCAAAACCAACCAGAACAACAACUACUACUACAAUGGUGCAAAUGGGUACAAAAACGAAGGGAAGCAAGGCAUGAGUGACACCAGGUACUUGCAAAAUGGAAGGUACUUCUUUGACCCCAAGGGUGGGAACAGCUAUUACAACCCAAAUCAGUACCAGACUUCAAGAAACAAUUACGAUUCUAGGGGUUCUUACUACAAUAAUUAUGAGAACACCAACCCAUUAGUUAUAGUUGAACC